rfam:Brassica oleracea var. oleracea cultivar TO1000 chromosome C2, whole genome shotgun sequence
ACGACCUUACUUGAAAAGGAUCUGUUCUAUAGGCUCGUACCUUUGUGUCCCUGAUCUCUAAAGAGUCAGACCCUAAAUCAUGGUGGAUGAUGAUUCAUGUCCGUGCGAUUAGAGAGUGAUUAACGGCCACGAUCAUCUCUAGAUGUGUCUGGUUCUGUAGAGGAUCGUUCUCGGCUCAGUUCUAUCCUUGCCGGGGUGGUCGCACAGCGGCCUGAUAGAUU